rnacentral:rRNA from 1 species
GCGCGUAGGCGGCUCGUUAAGUGUGAAGUGAAAUCCCUAGGGCUCAACCCAGAAACUGCUUUACAUACUGGCGAGCUAGAGGGAUGCAGAGGUUUGUGGAAUUCCUGGUGUAGCGGUGAAAUGCGUUGAUAUCAGGAGGAACACCCAUGGCGAAGGCAGCAAACUGGGCAUCAUCUGACGCUGAGGCGCGAAAGCGUGGGUAGCAAACAGGAUUAGAUACCCUGGUAGUCCACGCCCUAAACUAUGGAUACUAGGCGUAAGAGGUAUCGACCCCUCUUGUGCCGCAGCUAACGCAUUAAGUAUCCCGCCUGGGGAGUACGGCCGCAAGGUUGAAACUCAAAUGAAUUGACGGGGACCCGCACAAGCGGUGGAGCAUGUGGAUUAAUUCGAUACUAACCGAAGAACCUUACCCAGACUUGACAUCGAUCGCAAAGUCCAGAAAUGGGCUCCUCCCCCACAAGGGGACGUGAAGACACUUGUUGCAUGGCUGUCGUCAGCUCGUGCCGUGAGGUGUACGGUUAAGUCCGCCAACGAGCGCAACCCUCGUCCUGUGUU